rnacentral:misc_RNA from 1 species
AAAUAUUCUGGUCAUCUAUAUAUGUAAGCUUAAUUUUAAUAACAUAGAAUAAAUUCCUGUAGUGUACAAUUCGAUCAGACAUAUAAUGAUCUACUUUUUGGUGCCAUAUUUUGUAUUUGGCUUGUUUGUAUUUUGUUUGUUUUAAGUUGUUCCUUAAGUCUCUCAGCAACUUAUUUUCCUCUUUGGCUUGUUUGCAAACAUUUUUUAUUAAGCUUAUCAUUGUCGUGGA